rnacentral:rRNA from 1 species
UACAGAGGGGGGCAAGCGUUGUUCGGAAUUACUGGGCGUAAAGGGCGCGUAGGCGGCCUGCUAAGUCGAACGUGAAAUCCCUGGGCUCAACCCAGGAACUGCGUCCGAUACUGGCGGGCUUGAAUCCGGGAGAGGGAUGCGGAAUUCCAGGUGUAGCGGUGAAAUGCGUAGAUAUCUGGAGGAACACCGGUGGCGAAGGCGGCAUCCUGGACCGGCAUUGACGCUGAGGCGCGAAAGCUAGGGGAGCAAACGGG